rnacentral:rRNA from 1 species
UACGUAGGUGACAAGCGUUGUCCGGAUUUACUGGGCGUAAAGAGCGCGCAGGCGGUCGUUCAAGUCGAGUGUGAAAGCCCCCGGCUCAACUGGGGAGGGUCACUCGAUACUGAUCGACUUGAAGGCAGGAGAGGGAAGCGGAAUUCCCGGUGUAGUGGUGAAAUGCGUAGAUAUCGGGAGGAACACCAGUGGCGAAGGCGACUUCCUGGCCUGUUCUUGACGCUGAGGCGCGAAAGCUAGGGGAGCAAACGGG